rnacentral:misc_RNA from 1 species
AAAGUCAAAUAGCACGUGAAAUUGUUGAAAGGGAAACGAUUGAAGUCAGUCGUACCGAUGGGCAUUCAGCCUCAUGAGCGCGAUUACGUCGGGUGUUGGGGAGCUUAACCGCCCUCGCGCCUUGUGUAUUUGUGCUCUACGGGUGUACUUGUCCGUAUGGUAGGUUAACAUCAAUUUUGGUCGUCAUAAAAUGACGGGAGGAAUGUAGCUUCGAUCUCGUGUUGAAGUGUUAUAGCCUCUUGUAGAUGUGAUGACCGGGAUUGAGGAUUGCAACGAACCCUUCGGGGCCACCUGUCUGGCCUCUGGUGGUCUCUCUGGUGCCGAAAGCUUGCUUAUGGUCAUCAGAGUUGGUUGCCAAAAGGUUAGAACGGGUUGAUUUCGUUAAGGAUGUUGACGUAAUGGCUUCAAACGA